CCUACGGGAGGCUGCAGUGGGGAAUAUUGGGCAAUGGGCGCAAGCCUUACCCAGCAAUACCGCGUGAGUGAAGAAGGUCUUCGGAUUGUAAAGCUCUUUUAUCAGGGACGAACAGAAGACGGUACCUGACGAACAAGCCCCGGCUAACUACGUGCCAGCAGCCGCGGUAAAACGUAGGGGGCGAGCUUUUGCCGGAAUGACUGGGCGUAAAGGGUGUGUAGGCGGCAUAAUAAGUUAGAAGUGGAAUCCCUAGGGCUUAACUCGGGUGCUGCUUCUAAGACUGUUGAGCUUGUGUGCGGGAGAGGUUAACGGAAUUCCUAGUGUAGCGGUGGAAUGCGUAGAUAUUAGGAGGAACACCAGAGGCGAAGGCGAUUAACUGGACCGUAACUGACGCUGAGGCACGAAAGUGUGGGUAGCAAACAGGAUUAGAUACCCGAGUAGUC
rnacentral:rRNA from 1 species